rnacentral:rRNA from 1 species
UGCGUAGGGUGCAGGCGUUAAUCGGAAUUACUGGGCGUAAAGCGUGCGCAGGCGGCUUCCUAAGUCAGAUGUGAAAUCCCCGGGCUUAACCUGGGAACUGCGUUUGAAACUGGGGGGCUAGAGUGCGGCAGAGGGGGGUGGAAUUCCACGUGUAGCAGUGAAAUGCGUAGAUAUGUGGAGGAACACCGAUGGCGAAGGCAGCCCCCUGGGCCUGCACUGACGCUCAUGCACGAAAGCGUGGGGAGCAAACAGG